rnacentral:lncRNA from 1 species
UACUUUGGUACACUACAAUAUGUAUAAAAAAGAGUUAUGUGGAUCCACCUACUGUCCUCAAGGAGUACAUUGUUUUCUCAUUUGCUACAUUUGCACUCGUGGAGCCUUUUGGACUGGCUCCUUACAUACCUCAAGCUUCACAAACCAUAAGACCUGUUUCACCUUACUCACUUCACUUCACCAAGCCUGCAUUAACAAUUCAGCAGUUAACAGUCAAUCAUGACAGCAUAACAGAUGGGUAAACCGCAUUUCAAAACCUGCAAUACAUCCAAUAUAAAAGUCAAGCCUUGAAAUUUUUCCAACAUGCCUUGAAUNGUGCCGUUGCCAAUGAUUCUGAAUCUGAUGACAAUGACCUAUACUUAGCAGAAUGUAGAAUAUUACUUGCUGGUUUUUGAAGCUUCUGAAAUGCGGAAGCUAGUUAAUAUGGUGCGUAAAGGUGGAGGCUCCCGAUACAUGUAUUUUAAUGAUAAGUUGACACACAUAGUAAUUGGGAAUCCUACAGAAAUAAAAAGAAGGAAGUAAGAAGUAUUGCUGCUCCUGGUGUCGUUUAUGUUGUUAAAACCUCAUGGCUUGAUAACUGUGACCGUGUAAAGAAACAAGUCCCUGUUCUUCGACGACACAUUGCAUGGAUUGGCUGUAGUUAAAUAAGAUAUUUAAGCAGAACUUGCUCCAUGGAUUGGCCAUUGGCUUUGCAUUUGGUGCGCUUCUACUUUGGUACACUACAAUAUGUAUAAAAAAGAGUUAUGUGGAUCCACCUACUGUCCUCAAGGAGUACAUUGUUUUCUCAUUUGCUACAUUUGCACUCGUGGAGCCUUUUGGACUGGCUCCUUACAUACCUCAAGCUUCACAAACCAUAAGACCUGUUUCACCUUACUCACUUCACUUCACCAAGCCUGCAUUAACAAUUCAGCAGUUAACAGUCAAUCAUGACAGCAUAACAGAUGGGUAAACCGCAUUUCAAAACCUGCAAUACAUCCAAUAUAAAAGUCAAGCCUUGAAAUUUUUCCAACAUGCCUUGAAUUAAAACCACAAGUGCUGUCAGUGACCAAACCAAAACCUGCUAUGAAAAGAC